rnacentral:misc_RNA from 1 species
UAUUAAAUUUUUUGUUGGUAAAAAAUAUUAUAUAAACUAUACAUAUAACAGGAUGCUGUUUUAAAACUUCAAAAUAAUCUCAUCCUUCAUAUAAGAUGGAAUAGUUAAUGACUUCCCAAGUGAAGGCUGACUCUUAUGCUUAAAACCUAGCUGAGCUGCAUUGAGUAGCUGUUCAAAUUAUUAAAAAAUCAAUUAAUUCAAAUAGUUGAAACUAGGUCAAUACAGCUUCAAAUCCUAUAGUGGCAUCUACAUUCAAGGCAAUGUAUUACCAAUGGCAUCAAACUCAACAACCAAGCUCUCCUUCCUAUGCCUUAAAUUAAAGUAAUGAGAAACAACAUUAAACAAGUAUAGACAUGCCAACAAAGAAUUUACACCUUUUAAGCAUUACCAAACAAAGAAAUCAAAAUUUCAAACAACAUAUACAAUAAAACCGCAAAGCUAGUAAUUAACACUGCUUCCAUAUGCAAUAAGUAGAUAAAAUUUGACUAACUUGAGAUCAG